rnacentral:rRNA from 1 species
UACGUAGGGACCGAGCGUUGUCCGGAAUCAUUGGGCGUAAAGAGCGUGUAGGCGGCCAGGUAGGUCUGCUGUGAAAACUCGAGGCUCAACCUCGAGACGCCGGUGGAAACCGUAAGGCUAGAGUCCGGAAGAGGAGAGUGGAAUUCCUGGUGUAGCGGUGAAAUGCGCAGAUAUCAGGAAGAACACCCGUGGCGAAGGCGGCUCUCUGGGACGGUACUGACGCUGAGGUGCGAAAGCGUGGGGAGCAAACAGG